AAACAGAACAGUUGCCCUGCUACACGGAGGCUCUCCUGACUUUGUAGGAAAUGGUAAACAUCGGACCAACUCCUCUGGAAGAUCUAGGCAUUUAACAAUCAGCAUUGAGGAAGCUUGGCGUCAGCUAUCUAUGCAUAGCAUCUGGAGAAUCACCAUUGUGCUUCUGCAGACAGCCGUGCCUGGCGUGCCUAUCUGCAGGAACACUGCUGCGUGCCUAGGCGAGAACGUCAAUAUUCUAUGUGUAGUAGUGAAGAUUCUCCUGGCUCUUGUGAAAUCCUGUAUUUCUCUGUUGGUAGUACUGAUCAGCUCAUGGUGCACAAAGGGAAAUGUAUUGG
rnacentral:lncRNA from 1 species